rnacentral:rRNA from 1 species
AUGAACGCUGGCGGCAGGCUUAACACAUGCAAGUCGAACGGUAACAGGGAGAAASCUUSCUUUCUUUSCUGMCGAGUGSCGGMCGGGUGAGUAAUGCUUGGGAAUCUGGCCUAUGGAGGGGGAUAACUACGGGAAACUGUAGCUAAUACCGCGUAGAAUCGRAAGAUGAAAGUGUGGGACCGYAAGGCCACAUGCCAUGGGAUGAGCCCAAGUGGGAUUAGGUAGUUGGUAAGGUAAAGGCUUACCAAGCCGACGAUCUCUAGCUGGUCUGAGAGGAUGACCAGCCACACUGGAACUGAGACACGGUCCAGACUCCUACGGGAGGCAGCAGUGGGGAAUAUUGCACAAUGGGGGGAACCCUGAUGCAGCCAUGCCGCGUGAAUGAAGAAGGCCUUCGGGUUGUAAAGUUCUUUCGGUGAUGAGGAAGGCAACUACUUUAAUAGAGUAGUUGAUUGACGUUAGUCACAGAAGAAGCACCGGCUAACUCCGU